rnacentral:rRNA from 1 species
CCUACGGGAGGCAGCAGUGGGGAAUAUUGGACAAUGGGCGGAAGCCUGAUCCAGCCAUGCCGCGUGUGUGAAGAAGGCCUUUUGGUUGUAAAGCACUUUAAGCGAGGAGGAGGCUACUAGUACUAAUACUACUGGAUAGUGGACGUUACUCGCAGAAUAAGCACCGGCUAACUCUGUGCCAGCAGCCGCGGUAAUACAGAGGGUGCGAGCGUUAAUCGGAUUUACUGGGCGUAAAGCGUGCGUAGGCGGCUUUUUAAGUCGGAUGUGAAAUCCCCGAGCUUAACUUGGGAAUUGCAUUCGAUACUGGGAAGCUAGAGUAUGGGAGAGGAUGGUAGAAUUCCAGGUGUAGCGGUGAAAUGCGUAGAGAUCUGGAGGAAUACCGAUGGCGAAGGCAGCCAUCUGGCCUAAUACUGACGCUGAGGUACGAAAGCAUGGGGAGCAAACAGGAUUAGAUACCCUGGUAGUCCAUGCCGUAAACGAUGUCUACUAGCCGUUGGGGCCUUUGAGGCUUUAGUGGCGCAGCUAACGCGAUAAGUAAGACCGCCUUGGGGAGUACGGUUCGCAAGCUUAAAACUUCAAAAUUGAAUUGACCGG